rnacentral:siRNA from 1 species
UAUCGUUGCAGAAUCAAUGCCUAU